CUUAAUCUUCCAGCAGAGAGAAGCCCCACAUUUCUAUAGACAGAAAGGGGGAGAAGCUUUGAGAGAGGUAAAGAGAGAUGAUUGGGAUCUCAAGAAGGAGAUCGUUCCGCUUCCUGCUACUGUUCGUGUCAAUUUCUCUGCAAUUCUUUGCAGGCUUGUCAGAUGAUUCAUCAAGUUCCAAAGAGAAGACAAAGGCUGAUAAGAAAGCUACUCACCACACUAGCACUGGGUCCAAAAUAGUUAUCAUAUGCCUUGUGCUUGUGGUAGUUGUGCUUUUAUCAUUUGGCCUCUUCAAAUUGUGGCAAAAGAAAAAACGUGAAGAGCAGUAUGCCCGUCUGUUAAAGUUGUUUGAAGAGGAUGAUGAACUAGAGCUUGAACUUGGCCUCCGGGAUUGAGGUCCUGGUUAUAUAGAUCAUACAGUGUGAUUGAGGUUUUUAUGUACAAGAGGUAAAUGGCCACUCUCUUGGUGGAGGCCAAUACCGGGGUGGUGAUUGUCAAGGGGUUGUACUAUUUUCUGAGGUCAGAUAUUUCUGAUUUCAUAUAUGUAACAUUUGUAAUAUUAGGGUCAAACAAAAAUUUUCCCAAAUUAUUUCAUUUUUUUCAUCUAAAGAUCAGGGAAGAGCAUCAACUUGGUAAGGAAUGUUUGGCGAGUUCUAGUUGCAGUGUGUAAAAUGUCUAGUGCCUUACUUCUAUUGUUCCAUUAAAGCUACUUCUUUUGGGGUAGUGUAGAAGAAAGAUGCACUUUGACAGCGAGAAUUUAUAUAGCUUUACUUGGUAAAGAUGUAUUUUGGUAAAUUUGGGGUUAAAUGAAACGGCAUCCUGUUUACAUUCUCUCUA